CACAACCCUUAUUGAGAAAAUACAUUGCUACAGUGUCACAGAUUCUUGACAUGACUCAUGGUGAACUAAAAUUGCUUGCAAAGCAUCUGGGACAUGAUGUGAAGACACACAAGGAAUAUUAUCAGUUGUCUUCCAGUACCAUGGAACUCUCAAAGGUUGCCCUGAUGUUGUAUGCUGUU